rnacentral:rRNA from 1 species
UACGAAGGGGGCUAGCGUUGCUCGGAAUCACUGGGCGUAAAGGGUGCGUAGGCGGGUCUUAAGUCAGGGGUGAAAUCCUGGAGCUCAACUCCAGAACUGCCUUUGAUACUGGCAAUCUUGAGGCUGGAAGAGGUUAGUGGAAUUCCCAGUGUAGAGGUGAAAUCGUAGAUAUUGGGAAGAACACCAGUGGCGAAGGCGGCUAACUGGUCCAGAUCUGACGCUGAGGUGCGAAAGCGUGGGGAGCAAACAGG